CACCUAACAAAACAACAACCAACAUCAACAACAAUUUCAACUUCAACAAAGCGUACAACAACAACCCACAAAACCCCACAUCAACCCAAAGCCUUGAUUCUUUUCCCCUUUUCCCACUCACCUCCAUCUCUCUGUAUGAUUUUUACCAGCUUAAACUUUAUCUUCAAUUUGAAAUACACAAUCAAAAUUCUCAAAAACACCCCUAAAUUUUCCAUUUCCCACACCGAAAAUUCAUCCUCAAUUCCAUUCAAUUUGUUCCUAUAAAUAUCCUCACUAUUCAUUAGUGGAGGGGAUGGUUGUUCUGAGGCAAGAACCCCAAGUAAGAAAUUUUGCUAAAGAACAAGGAGAUUUUUAGGACCUAAAAAGAGUUGAAAUUCUCUUUAAUCGGCUAGGAUUUUGAACUUCGGUCCUCGGCCUGGAGUUGUGAGAAUUUUGGCUCAAUCUUUUUUAAUUUUCUUGUGUUUUGGAAUCGAAGAAGUCGGUAGUCAUCGUCCACUCGUCGUCCCAGUUGGCUGCUCGACAAAAGGUGACAUAUGCAAGACUGCCUCUAUGAAAUAACACAAAAUAAUCCUCUCAAACUUUGAGGAUUCAAUCCAAAAGAUCAGGACAUGUACAAGUCCUUUUAAGGAUUACCGAUUCAAGGGCUGAAGUUCAAUAAGUCAACUUCUAUCUUUGUUUAUAUAUUAGGGUUUUCUAUCCUCCAAGAAAACCUACCGGAUUAUCACCCCAUUUGAGGUGACACAUUUUAUUAUAUUUGGGUCAUCCACCUUUUCAAGAGGACAUACGGAAUCAUCAUUUCAUUCGAGGUGACACAUCUUAUUAUAUUUAGGUCAUCCACUCUUUCAAAAGGACAUACCAAAUUGCCACUUCAUUCGAGGUGACACAUCCUAUUAUAUUUGGGCCAUCCCUCUUUUAGAAGAACACAUCUUAUUAUAUGUGGAUUUUCUACCUUUUUAAGAGGAUGUGUUGGACCAUUACUUUAUUUGAGAUGCCAUGUUAUUAUGUUAUGGAUCAUCACCUCCUUCAAAAUGAUACACUAUAUAGAUCAUCACCUCCUUCAGAGUGAUACACUAUAUGGAUAUCAUAUUUUUUAGAGUGACAUUAUUAUGCUAUGGAUCAUCACCUCCUUCACAGUAAUGCGCUAUUAUAUUAUGGAUCAUCACCUCCUUCAGAGUGACAAGUUAUUAUAUUGUGGACUAUCACCUCCUUCGGCAUGAUAUGUUAUUUUGUUAUGGACCGCCACCUCUCUCAGAGUGACAUAUCAUUAUGUUAUGGGUUGUCACUUUCUUCAACGUGAUAUGUUAUUUUGCUAUGGAUCGUCACCUCCCUCGGAAUGACAUAUCAUUAUGUUAUGGAUUGUCACCACCUUCAAUGUUAUAUGUUAUUAUGUUAUAGACUGUUACCUCCCUCAUAGUGAUCUAUCAUUAUGUUAUGGAUUGUCACCUCAUUCAGCGUGAUAUGUUAUUAUGUUAUGGGCAGUCACCUCCCUCAGAAUGACAUAUCAUUAUGUUAUAGAUCAUCACCUCUUUCAGCAAGAUAUGUUAUUUUGCUAUGGUCUGUCACCUCCCUCAGAGUGACAUAUAAUUAUGUUAUGGAUUGUCGCCUCGCUCAGUGCGAUUCUGUUAUUAUAUUAUAAACCGCCACCUCCCUUAGUGUGACAUAUCAUUAUGUUAUGGAAUGUCACCUCCUUCAGCAUGAUAUGUUAUGAAUUGUCACCUCUCUAAGACUGACAUAUCAUUAUGUUAUAGAUUGUCACCUCCUUCAGCAUGACAUGUUAUUAUGUUAUGGACCGUCACAUCCCUCAAAGUGACAUAUCAUUAUGUUAUGGAUUGUCACCUCCUUCAGCGUGAUAUAUUAUUAUUUUAUAGAAUAUCAUCUCCUUUAGAGUGAUACUUUAUUAUGUUAUGGAUUGUCACCUCCUUCAGAGUGACACAUUAUUAUAUGGAUUAUCACCUUCUUUAGAGUGACAUGUCGCUAUUUUAUGGAUCGUCGCACCCUUCAGAGUGGUAAGUCCUUCACCUCCUUUAGAGUGACAUAUUAUUAUGUUAUGGAUCAUCACUUCCUUCAGAGUAAUACAUUACUAUAUUAUGGAUUACCACCUCCUUCAGAGUGACAUGUUAUUAUGUUGUGGACUAUCACCUCGUUCAGCAUGAUACGUUAUUUUGUUAUCGAUCGUCACCUCUCUUAGAGUGACAUAUCAUUACGUUAUGGAUUGUCACAUCCUUCAUCAUGAUAUGUUAUCUUGUUAUGGACUAUCACCUCCCUCAGAGUGGUACAUCAUUAGUUAUGUAUUGUCACCUACUUCAGCGUGAUAUGUUAUUAUGUUAUGAAAGUGACAUAUCAUUAUGUUAUAGAUUGUCACCUCUUUCAACAUAAUAUGUUAUUAUGUUAUGGAUUGUCACCUCCCCCAGAGUGACAUAUCAUUAUUUUAUGGAUUGUCACCUCCUUCAGUAUAAUAUGUUAUUUUGUUAUGGAUUGACACCUCCCUCAAAGUGACAUAUAAUUAUGUUAUGAAUUGUCA